UACGUAGGGCGCAAGCGUUGUCCGGAAUUAUUGGGCGUAAAGAGCUCGUAGGCGGCUUGUCACGUCGGUUGUGAAAGCCCGGGGCUUAACCCCGGGUCUGCAGUCGAUACGGGCAGGCUAGAGUGUGGUAGGGGAGAUCGGAAUUCCUGGUGUAGCGGUGAAAUGCGCAGAUAUCAGGAGGAACACCGGUGGCGAAGGCGGAUCUCUGGGCCAUUACUGACGCUGAGGAGCGAAAGCGUGGGGAGCAAACAGG
rnacentral:rRNA from 1 species